UACGGGGGGGCAAGCGUUGUUCGGAAUUACUGGGCGUAAAGGGCGCGUAGGCGGUUCGCUAAGUUGAAUGUGAAAACUCUGGGCUUAACCCAGAGCCUGCAUCCAAAACUGGCGAACUGGAGUACUGGAGGGGAAAGCGGAAUUCCUGGUGUAGCGGUGAAAUGCGUAGAUAUCAGGAGGAACACCGGUGGCGAAGGCGGCUUUCUGGACAGUAACUGACGCUGAGGCACGAAAGCUAGGGGAGCAAACAGG
rnacentral:rRNA from 1 species